CUGGCCCUAAACGAUGGGUACCAGACCGUGGGCCGCAUGGGCUCACAGUCGAGGCAAAAGUGUUAAGUACCCCGCCUGGGGAGUAUGGUCGCAAGGCUGAAACUCAAAGGAAUUGACGGGGGCUCACACAAGCGGUGGAGCAUGUGGCUUAAUUCGAGGCUACGCGCAGAACCUUAUCCUGGGCUUGACAUGCGCGAAAGCGGUAGGAAGUAUCCCGCGGAAACGUUGGGUCAACUGUAUCCAAUCUGGAACCUACCACAGGUGCUGCGUGGCUGUCCUCAGCUCG
rnacentral:rRNA from 1 species